AUCAAUUUGAGGAAAGUGGAAUCAGACUUAAAGUACAACUAACUCACACACAGAAUCUUGCAUCACUUGUGGUAAAGCUGAUUAUAUAUCAAAUAUUUGAUUAAAGACCCGGAAUCUCGACAGAAGUCAAGAAAUGAAUCUAUAUAUAGCUACGGGAUUUUUGGUGCUGAUGGUUGUUCAACUGUUAAGAGGUGUGGAUGGAAAAACCUGUAAAAAGUUCUCUAAUGGAUGUAGUGGUGGUUUCGCAACUUAUAGACGACUGUUUAAACCGGCGUGUGAUAAUCAUGACGUUUGCUAUUCAUGUGGCGUCGCACGAGGUUUGUCAAGAUACGACUGUGACUAUGAUUUCUACUAUAAUAUGCAAGACCACUGUUCCCCCAAAUCCUUUUUUUCAAGGUGGUGGUGUAACAUGAUGAAAUGGAAAUUUUAUUUAGGAGUGCGUUGGUUUGGGUCAAGUUAUUUUGUAAAGAAGUCGCCAUCGUAUUGUAACGAGACGUGGGUGGACAACUGCUUGCCUUAAAAGGAAAAAAAAACU